GUUUCAUUUUGAUGAUUAAAAAAAAUAAUAAUAAUAAAAAAAGUAUUUUGCUUCGUAGUUACACUAUUGAUUUUGAAUGGUUACAAAACUAUUUCCCUAGCGUAUAUUUGCCUUUCUUUUGUCGCAUUCACGUCUUUCUUUAAAGUAAAGUUAUUUUCGGUAAAACGUGUGAUCGAUUCAUAUUAUUAAUUUAACAUAUUUGCUCAAAGCUAGGAGUGAUAUCGUUAAUGUUGAAUAUCUUUACAGAAACCUAGUCGUCUUUUGGGAUGACGAACAAACUUUAAAUGCUAAAGGAAAAAAAACAGAAAAUAUAUAUAUAUAUACUGCCAGUCGUGGGAUAAGAAUCGCACAAAGAUUUUUAUCAAGUAAAGAAAUUAUUCAAGCCGUACGAAUUUCUAAAACUAAGCUAUUUGUACAGUUAGCCUAUUAAUUUCUGGUUGUUUAGAAGAUCGUUCGAUUUUUACCACACGACUAAAUGAAACCUUCUUGUGCAGGUGUUGUAACCGCUAUAACAAUAAAUAAUUUAUAUUGUUGGAAUCAUCCGAUCUUUUCUGACUGUGUCAACAAGACGUCUCCCAGAUCUAAUUAAAAAACAGGCAAACAUCAUUCCCGUUCAUGAUUCCCAGGAGUGAAAAGAAAGGAAUAAUGAUUAAAAAAAAAAAGAAGACGACUGCUUUUCUGCCUUGUCAGUCAUGGUGCUAUCCUGGUUAUAACCACGCCCAAGUUCACAUCAAUAACGACAGCAUUGAUCAGUCGCACUCAUUACCUGUCACAUUCAUUGAUGUAACCGCAAAUCUGCUUUGCAGAGCGUGCAAGUUGCAGGCAGAGCCAUCUGUUGACAUGUGGACCCGCUAGUCACCUGUGGUUGUGUUGACACGGACGGAUUCCACAUAAUUGAUUGGAUCAGGACGCCUCCGCCACUCAAUUCCCUGGGGUUGUCGCUCGCUAAUGUGCUGAUAGAGACAUGCGGUGUUUGACAUUAUUGAAUGUACUAAAGGACACAAUAGGUUCUGAGCUGCUUUAAUGAAACCCGGCCAUUCUGGCCACUGCUUCCGGUCCGAAUCGCAUCUCGCCGCCCCCAAGAAUCGCGUGUAAAUCCCAUCUGGAUUAUCUAGUAACGAUUUCGUACUUGGAUUUAUCUCACCGGAUGCCAGUUAAUCUCGAAUGGUCACUUUUUCCUGACGUUCUUGUCAUUAACUUUAUCACGUAAAUGAUGAUCCGAAGUGAAUUCGUUGGAAGAAGGAUCACAUUCCUCUUACUGCUGUAUAAGUAUCUUUUGUGCACUGCAUGGGUUUCUCAUUUGUCACCAUCGCCUAUACAUCAGAAAAAGAUGUUCUUUCCUAAUCUACCGUUUCUUAAAGUUUCAACUGCCUGAUGUCGGAUUUGAUAGAAAAUAUUUCUAGAAGAGGAAAUCUAGAGACAUUUCCUGUAUUUAUUUCAUAGUGCCAGAUUUACAACCAACAAUUCUUUUUUCCGACAUUUCGAAAAAAAAUUAUAGGAUUAUAUUGUUAUAAUAUGUAAGAGAGAGGUAGAAAAAAUUGUUGGCAGAAAGAAAUUAUUUAAAAAAAUC
rnacentral:lncRNA from 1 species